GGACUACCGGGGUUUCUAAUCCCGUUCGCUCCCCUGGCUUUCGCCCCUGAGCGUCAGAUGCCUCCCAGGACCCUGCCUACGCCUUUGGUGUUCCUCCGGAUCUCUACGCAUUUCACCACUCCACCCGGAAUUCCAGGUCCCUCUGAGGCCCUCAAGCCCUGCCGUCUUGGCGGCGCUCCCCCCGUUAAGCAGAGGGCUGGCACUGCCAACGCGCAGAACCGCCUGCGGGCGCUUUACGCCCAGUAACUCCGGACAACGCUCGCCCCCUACGUAUUACCGCGGCUGCUGGCAC
rnacentral:rRNA from 1 species